CAGCCGCCACGGUAAUACGAAGGGUGCAAGCGUUAAUCGGAAUUACUGGGCGUAAAGCGUGCGUAGGCGGUUUGUUAAGUCUGCUGUGAAAUCCCCGGGCUCAACCUGGGAAUGGCAGUGGAUACUGGCAAGCUAGAGUGUGUCAGAGGAUGGUGGAAUUCCCGGUGUAGCGGUGAAAUGCGUAGAGAUCGGGAGGAACAUCAGUGGCGAAGGCGGCCAUCUGGGACAACACUGACGCUGAGGCACGAAAGCGUGGGGAGCAAACAGGAUUAGAUACCCCUGUAGUCCCUGUCUCUUAUAC
rnacentral:rRNA from 1 species